rnacentral:lncRNA from 1 species
CACUCACUUCUGCCCUAGCUCCAAGGCUCUCAGGCCCCUGACAAGCCCUGGUGUGUUCAGGGCCUUGCAGAACUUCAAGGAGGACAAGCCCAAGCCCGUGCAGGACGAGUAUGAGUACGUUUCGGACAAUGGCGAGCUCAAGAUCAACGAGUUUUCCAUCAGGAGGAACAAAAAUGCCCCAAAAAGGCACUUGUCCUGUGAGUUGGGAAGGGGCGUUGGGGGAGGGGUUGGGAGAGGCCCGUCAUGCCCUGAGAGGUAUUCCUGGAGUGGCUGGCUCCCCCCAAGGCUGCCCACUGGGCUCCCAUCUGCUGUGCUUUCAGUCUUGUUGCAUAUGAAGGUGGUGCUGUCCACACCUGUCAUGAAGCCAAAGCUUGACUCAGCAGCGUACAAGUGACGACUCCUUGGUCGAGGGUUUGCUGCACAUCGACACGGACACCAAGCCCCGGCCACAAUGCCAGAGUCAAGAAGGAGAGCGGGAGCUUGGCAGCCGACAUCUUGCACCUGCUGCAGGCCAGCGAGGAGAUCGGUGCCCUGGAAUACAACCCCAGCAGCCAGCCCCCAGCCUGCCCCAGCAUGCAGGAAGCCAUUCAGGGAAUGCUGUCCAUGGCCAACCUGCAGGCCUCCGACUCCUACCUGCAGACCACAUGGUGCACUGGCCAGGCCAAGAGGAGCUCGCUGGCAUCCCAUGGUGCCCAGAAGAAUGGGGGUGGCAGCGGCAAGAGUGCAGGCAAGCAACUGCUGAAGAGGGCUGCCAAGAACAGCGCGGACCUGGGCCACUACGAGGAAGAGCACAAGACACCAGAUCUGGGAGUCCCUAGUCUCCAGAACUGUGAUAAGUAAAUGUUUGUUGUUUAAGCCACCCAGCUUAUGGUAUGUAUGUUGUAGCAGGCCAAAUGGACUAGAACAUUUAUUAUUUCAUUUACUCAAGUAAAUAGUAAUUUUAAAAAAAAU